UCUGCAUCGUUGCUUCUGAGACA
rnacentral:piRNA from 1 species